AAAGCGAAACAACAAAUUUUCGAACUUAAACCUCGAGUACUAAUCAUUAAGCUAACUUUUCAACUUGAACCUCAAGUACUAAUCAUUAAAUACUUUGCUAUUUAUACUAGAGGCAGUCAAUAACAUAAAAUUAUUUUUAAAAGAAAAUAAAAAAAUGAUGGCAUAAAGAGAAGGAGAAAUUUCAAAAGAGAUGUAAAAGAAAGAGACAAAAUAUUUAUUAAAUGAGG
rnacentral:lncRNA from 1 species